AUUGAACGCUGGCGGCAGGCUUAACACAUGCAAGUCGAGCGGAGCGAGGGUGCUUGCACCUUAGCUUAGCGGCGGACGGGUGAGUAAGGCUUAGGAAUCUGCCUAUUAGUGGGGGGCAACAUUCCGAAAGGGAUGCUAAUACCGCAUACGCCCUACGGGGGAAAGCAGGGGAUCUUCGGACCUUGCGCUAAUAGAGGAGCCUAAGUCGGAUUAGCUAGUUGGUGGGGUAAAGGCCUACCAAGGUGACGAUCUGUAGCGGGUCUGAGAGGAUGGUCCGCCACACUGGGACUGAGACACGGCCCAGACUCCUGCGGGAGGCAGCAGUGGGGAAUAUUGGACAAUGGGGGGAACCCUGAUCCAGCCAUGCCGCGUGUGUGAAGAAGGCCUUUUGGUUGUAAAGCACUUUAAGCGAGGAGGAGGCGCUCUAGGAUAAUACCCUAGAUGCGUGGACGUUACUCGCAGAAUAAGCACCGGCUAACUCUGUGCCAGCAGCCGCAGUAAGAC
rnacentral:rRNA from 1 species